rfam:Camelus ferus unplaced genomic scaffold scaffold327, whole genome shotgun sequence.
GUGGGUGUAGCUCAGUGGUAGAGUGUGUGCUUGGCAUGCACGAGGUCCCGGGCUCAAUCCCCAGUACCUCCA